UACGUAGGGGGCAAGCGUUGUCCGGAAUUAUUGGGCGUAAAGAGCGUGUAGGCGGCUCGGUAAGUCUGCUGUGAAAGUCCAAGGCUCAACCUUGGAAUGCCGGUGGAUACUGUCGAGCUCGAGUCCGGAAGAGGCGAGUGGAAUUCCUGGUGUAGCGGUGAAAUGCGCAGAUAUCAGGAGGAACACGAAUGGCGAAGGCAGCUCGCUGGGACGGUACUGACGCUGAGACGCGAAAGCGUGGGGAGCAAACAGG
rnacentral:rRNA from 1 species